UUAACCCAUAGGCAGCUCCUUUUACGGUCACCGACUUCAGGUACCCCAGACUUCCAUGGCUUGACGGGCGGUGUGUACAAGGCCCGGGAACGUAUUCACCGCGCCAUGGCUGAUGCGCGAUUACUAGCGAUUCCAGCUUCAUAGAGUCGAGUUGCAGACUCCAAUCCGAACUGAGACCGGCUUUCGAGAUUUGCAUCACAUCGCUGUGUAGCUGCCCUCUGUACCGGCCAUUGUAUUACGUGUGUGGCCCAAGGCGUAAGGGCCGUGAUGAUUUGACGUCAUCCCCACCUUCCUCUCUACUUGCGUAGGCAGUCUCACUAGAGUCCUCAACUUAAUGGUAGCAACUAGUGACAGGGGUUGCGCUCGUUGCAGGACUUAACCUAACACCUCACGGCACGAGCUGACGACAACCAUGCAGCACCUUGAAAAUUGUCCGAAGAAAAACACAUUUCUGCGUCUGUCAAUUCCCAUUUAAGCCUUGGUAAGGUUCCUCGCGUAUCAUCGAAUUAAACCACAUAAUCCACCGCUUGUGCGGGCCCCCGUCAAUUCCUUUGAGUUUCAAACUUGCGUUCGUACUCCCCAGGUGGCUUACUUAUCACUUUCGCUUAGUCUCUGAACCCGAAAGCCCAAAAACGAGUAAGCAUCGUUUACAGCGUGGACUACCAGGGUAUCUAAUCCUGUUCGCUCCCCACGCUUUCGUCCAUCAGCGUCAGUUGUAACUUAGUAACCUGCCUUCGCAAUUGGUGUUCUAAGUAAUAUCUAUGCAUUUCACCGCUACACUACUUAUUCCAGCUACUUCAACUACACUCAAGACCUGCAGUAUCAAUGGCAGUUUCACAGUUAAGCUGUGAGAUUUCACCACUGACUUACAGAUCCGCCUACGGACCCUUUAAACCCAAUAAAUCCGGAUAACGCUUGCACCCUCCGUAUUACCGCGGCUGCUGGCACGGAGUUAGCCGGUGCUUAUUCGUACAGUACCUUCAGCUACCCUCACGAGGAUA
rnacentral:rRNA from 1 species